rnacentral:rRNA from 1 species
UCAAGUGAAGAAGCGCAUACGGUGGAUGCCUUGGCAGUCAGAGGCGAUGAAAGACGUGGUAGCCUGCGAAAAGCUUCGGGGAGUCGGCAAACAGACUUUGAUCCGGAGAUGUCUGAAUGGGGGAACCCAGCCAUCAUAAGAUGGUUAUCUUGUACUGAAUACAUAGGUGCAAGAGGCGAACCAGGGGAACUGAAACAUCUAAGUACCCUGAGGAAAAGAAAUCAACCGAGAUUCCCUUAGUAGUGGCGAGCGAACGGGGACUAGCCCUUAAGUGGCUUUGAGAUUAGCGGAACGCUCUGGAAAGUGCGGCCAUAGUGGGUGAUAGCCCUGUACGCGAAAAUCUCUUGGUCAUGAAAUCGAGUAGGACGGGGCACGAGAAACCUUGUCUGAAUAUGGGGGGACCAUCCUCCAAGGCUAAAUACUACUGACUGACCGAUAGUGAACUAGUACCGUGAGGGAAAGGCGAAAAGAACCCCGGAGAGGGGAGUGAAAUAGAUCCUGAAACCGUAUGCGUACAAGCAGUGGGAGCCCACUUUGUUGGGUGACUGCGUACCUUUUGUAUAAUGGGUCAGCGACUUAUUUUCAGUGGCGAGCUUAACCGAAUAGGGGAGGCGUAGCGAAAGCGAGUCUUAAUAGGGCGUCUAGUCGCUGGGAAUAGACCCGAAACCGGGCGAUCUAUCCAUGGGCAGGUUGAAGGUUAGGUAACACUGACUGGAGGACCGAACCGACUACCGUUGAAAAGUUAGCGGAUGACCUGUGGAUCGGAGUGAAAGGCUAAUCAAGCUCGGAGAUAGCUGGUUCUCCUCGAAAGCUAUUUAGGUAGCGCCUCAUGUAUCACUGUAGGGGGUAGAGCACUGUUUCGGCUAGGGGGUCAUCCCGACUUACCAAACCGAUGCAAACUCCGAAUACCUACAAGUGCCGAGCAUGGGAGACACACGGCGGGUGCUAACGUCCGUCGUGAAAAGGGAAACAACCCAGACCGUCAGCUAAGGUCCCAAAGUCAUGGUUAAGUGGGAAACGAUGUGGGAAGGCUUAGACAGCUAGGAGGUUGGCUUAGAAGCAGCCACCCUUUAAAGAAAGCGUAAUAGCUCACUAGUCGAGUCGGCCUGCGCGGAAGAUGUAACGGGGCUCAAACCAUGCACCGAAGCUACGGGUAUCACUUAGGUGAUGCGGUAGAGGAGCGUUCUGUAAGCCUGUGAAGGUGAGUUGAGAAGCUUGCUGGAGGUAUCAGAAGUGCGAAUGCUGACAUGAGUAACGACAAUGGGUGUGAAAAACACCCACGCCGAAAGACCAAGGUUUCCUGCGCAACGUUAAUCGACGCAGGGUUAGUCGGUCCCUAAGGCGAGGCUGAAAAGCGUAGUCGAUGGAAAACAGGUUAAUAUUCCUGUACUUCUGGUUAUUGCGAUGGAGGGACGGAGAAGGCUAGGCCAGCUUGGCGUUGGUUGUCCAAGUUUAAGGUGGUAGGCUGGAAUCUUAGGUAAAUCCGGGAUUCCAAGGCCGAGAGCUGAUGACGAGUGUUCUUUUAGAACACGAAGUGGUUGAUGCCAUGCUUCCAAGAAAAGCUUCUAAGCUUCAGAUAACCAGGAACCGUACCCCAAACCGACACAGGUGGUUGGGUAGAGAAUACCAAGGCGCUUGAGAGAACUCGGGUGAAGGAACUAGGCAAAAUGGCACCGUAACUUCGGGAGAAGGUGCGCCGGUGAGGGUGAAGGACUUGCUCCGUAAGCUCAUGCCGGUCGAAGAUACCAGGCCGCUGCGACUGUUUAUUAAAAACACAGCACUCUGCAAACACGAAAGUGGACGUAUAGGGUGUGACGCCUGCCCGGUGCCGGAAGGUUAAUUGAUGGGGUUAGCUAACGCGAAGCUCUUGAUCGAAGCCCCGGUAAACGGCGGCCGUAACUAUAACGGUCCUAAGGUAGCGAAAUUCCUUGUCGGGUAAGUUCCGACCUGCACGAAUGGCGUAACGAUGGCGGCGCUGUCUCCACCCGAGACUCAGUGAAAUUGAAAUCGCUGUGAAGAUGCAGUGUAUCCGCGGCUAGACGGAAAGACCCCGUGAACCUUUACUAUAGCUUUGCACUGGACUUUGAAUUUGCUUGUGUAGGAUAGGUGGGAGGCUUUGAAGCGUGGACGCCAGUUCGCGUGGAGCCAUCCUUGAAAUACCACCCUGGCAACUUUGAGGUUCUAACUCAGGUCCGUUAUCCGGAUCGAGGACAGUGUAUGGUGGGUAGUUUGACUGGGGCGGUCUCCUCCUAAAGAGUAACGGAGGAGUACGAAGGUGCGCUCAGACCGGUCGGAAAUCGGUCGUAGAGUAUAAAGGCAAAAGCGCGCUUGACUGCGAGACAGACACGUCGAGCAGGUACGAAAGUAGGUCUUAGUGAUCCGGUGGUUCUGUAUGGAAGGGCCAUCGCUCAACGGAUAAAAGGUACUCCGGGGAUAACAGGCUGAUACCGCCCAAGAGUUCAUAUCGACGGCGGUGUUUGGCACCUCGAUGUCGGCUCAUCACAUCCUGGGGCUGAAGCCGGUCCCAAGGGUAUGGCUGUUCGCCAUUUAAAGUGGUACGCGAGCUGGGUUUAGAACGUCGUGAGACAGUUCGGUCCCUAUCUGCCGUGGACGUUUGAGAUUUGAGAGGGGCUGCUCCUAGUACGAGAGGACCGGAGUGGACGAACCUCUGGUGUUCCGGUUGUCACGCCAGUGGCAUUGCCGGGUAGCUAUGUUCGGAAAAGAUAACCGCUGAAAGCAUCUAAGCGGGAAACUUGCCUCAAGAUGAGAUCUCACUGGAACCUUGAGUUCCCUGAAGGGCCGUCGAAGACUACGACGUUGAUAGGCAGGGUGUGUAAGCGCUGUGAGGCGUUGAGCUAACCUGUACUAAUUGCCCGUGAGGCUUGACCA